UCUGNUCUGUAACUGACGCUGAGGCUNGAAAGCGUGGGGAGCGAACAGGAUUAGAUACCCUGGUAGUNCACGCCGUAAACGAUGAGUGCUAGGUGUUAGGCCCUUUCCGGGGCUUAGUGCCGCAGCUAACGCAUUAAGCACUCCGCCUGGGGAGUACGACCGCAAGGUUGAAACUCAAAGGAAUUGACGGGGGCCCGCACAAGCGGUGGAGCAUGUGGUUUAAUUCGAAGCAACGCGAAGAACCUUACCAGGUCUUGACAUCCCGAUGCCCGCUCUAGAGAUAGAGUUUUACUUCGGUACAUCGGUGACAGGUGGUGCAUGGUUGUCGUCAGCUCGUGUCGUGAGAUGUUGGGUUAAGUCCCGCAACGAGCGCAACCCUUAUUGUUAGUUGCCAUCAUUCAGUUGGGCACUCUAGCGAGACUGCCGGUAAUAAACCGGAGGAAGGUGGGGAUGACGUCAAAUCAUCAUGCCCCUUAUGACCUGGGCUACACACGUGCUACAAUGGCUGGUACAACGAGUCGCAAGUCGGUGACGGCAAGCUAAUCUCUUAAAGCCAGUCUCAGUUCGGAUUGUAGGCUGCAACUCGCCUACAUGAAGUCGGAAUCGCUAGUAAUCGCGGAUCAGCACGCCGCGGUGAAUACGUUCCCGGGCCUUGUACACACCGCCCGUCACACCACGAGAGUUUGUAACACCCGAAGUCGGUGAGGUAACCUUUUAGGA
rnacentral:rRNA from 1 species